UGUGCUAUGUUGAUAGCCAUCUAUCUGCAAUGUCUAUGUAUCAGUGUGUGUACUAAUGUGUGCACUAUAGCACUAGCACGUUGGUAAAGCUGUGCAGUCAAGUUGUUGAAAAACAAGACUUGUGUGUUGAAAAACAAGAAUUGUGUGUUGAAAAACAAGACUUAUGUCUUGAAAAACAAGACUUAUGUGUUGGAAAACCUCACUUGUUUUCAUCUGACUGUCGGAGAUUUCAUUGAGUUAUUCCUAAAGUUGCGUGACUUGCUAAUCUCGUGCUUAACGCCUGUUUCUGAAUAAAUCUGUUGAUAAAUGAGAACAUGUGAAUUCCAACUUGGAUACUUUGUCGAUUCUGUGAAUUGUUCAUAGAUUUGUGUGUUAGCCAUUGAACUCAAGUAUUGAUCACUUGUGAUUCUCCAUGGUUGGUUAGAUACAUGGUGUUCACCCACACACCUAUUGUCCCGCAGCGUGUGAUUGAGGAUUCACUAUGUUGUCCAGUCAGAACAUUUUAGUGGUGUGUACAUUCUCAUGGAUUUCGUUAAUUUCGGAGAUGAUUCAGACGAGGACUAUGAUGUGUAAG